rnacentral:rRNA from 1 species
UCAGGAUGAACGCUGGCGGCGUGCCUAACACAUGCAAGUCGAACGGAGAUUUAACGCUGAUGAAGCUUCGGCAGAUUCUUGUUAAAUCUUAGUGGCGGACGGGUGAGUAACGCGUGGGCAACCUGCCUCAUACUGGGGGAUAACAGCUGGAAACGACUGUUAAUACCGCAUAAGCGCACGGUAUCGCAUGAUACAGUGUGAAAAACUCCGGUGGUAUGAGAUGGGCCCGCGUCAGAUUAGCCAGUUGGCAGGGUAACGGCCUACCAAAGCGACGAUCUGUAGCCGGCCUGAGAGGGCGGACGGCCACAUUGGGACUGAGACACGGCCCAAACUCCUACGGGAGGCAGCAGUGGGGGAUAUUGCACAAUGGAGGAAACUCUGAUGCAGCGACGCCGCGUGAGUGAAGAAGUAUUUCGGUAUGUAAAGCUCUAUCAGCAGGGAAGAAAGACUCGUAAGAGAGAUGACGGUACCUGACUAAGAAGCCCCGGCUAACUACGUGCCAGCAGCCGCGGUAAUACGUAGGGGGCAAGCGUUAUCCGGAUUUACUGGGUGUAAAGGGAGCGCAGACGGCUUAGCAAGUCUGAAGUGAAACCCCACGGCUCAACCGUGGGCUUGCUUUGGAAACUGUUAGGCUAGAGUACUGGAGAGGUAAGCGGAAUUCCUAGUGUAGCGGUGAAAUGCGUAGAUAUUAGGAGGAACAUCGGUGGCGAAGGCGGCUUACUGGACAGCAACUGACGUGAGGCUCGAAGG